rnacentral:rRNA from 1 species
UACGUAGGGUGCAAGCGUUGUCCGGAAUUAUUGGGCGUAAAGAGCUUGUAGGCGGUUUGUCGCGUCUGCUGUGAAAUUUCGGGGCUCAACCCCGAACUUGCAGUGGGUACGGGCAGACUAGAGUGUGGUAGGGGAGACUGGAAUUCCUGGUGUAGCGGUGAAAUGCGCAGAUAUCAGGAGGAACACCGAUGGCGAAGGCAGGUCUCUGGGCCACUACUGACGCUGAGAAGCGAAAGCAUGGGGAGCGAACAG